UACGUAGGGGGCAAGCGUUGUCCGGAUUUAUUGGGCGUAAAGAGCGUGUAGGCGGCCAUACAGGUCAGCUGUGAAAACUCGAGGCUCAACCUCGAGACGUCGGUUGAAACCGUAUGGCUAGAGUCCGGAAGAGGAGAGUGGAAUUCCCGGCGUAGCGGUGAAAUGCGCAGAUAUCGGGAAGAACACCUAUGGUGAAGGCAGCUCUCUGGGACGGUACUGACGCUGAGACGCGAAAGCGUGGGGAGCGAACAGG
rnacentral:rRNA from 1 species